rnacentral:rRNA from 1 species
GACGAACCGUGCAAACGUUGUUCGGAAUCACUGGGCUUAAAGGGCGCGUAGGCGGCUGACCAAGUCCGGGGUGAAAUCCUGCAGCUUAACUGUAGAAGUGCCUUGGAUACUGGUCGGCUCGAGGGAGGUAGGGGUCUGUGGAACUGCUGGUGGAGCGGUGAAAUGCGUUGAUAUCAGCAGGAACGCCGGUGGCGAAAGCGACGGACUGGAUCUCUUCUGACGCUGAGGCGCGAAAGCUAGGGGAGCAAACGGG